GGAGGAAAGUAGGGGAUCGCAAGACCUUGCGCUUUUGGAGCGGCCGAUGCCUGAUUAGCUUGUUGGUAAGGUAAAAGCUUACCAAGGCUUCGAUCAGUAGCUGGUCUGAGAGGACGGCCAGCCACACUGGGACUGAGACACGGCCCAGACUCCUACGGGAGGCAGCAGUGGGGAAUUUUGGACAAUGGGGGCAACCCUGAUCCAGCCAUGCCGCGUGAGUGAAGAAGGCCUUCGGGUUGUAAAGCUCUUUCAGCCGGAACGAAACGGUUACGGUUAAUACCUGUGACUAAUGACGGUACCGGAAGAAGAAGCACCGGCUAACUACGUGCCAGCAGCCGCGGUAAUACGUAGGGUGCGAGCGUUAAUCGGAAUUACUGGGCGUAAAGCGUGCGCAGGUGGUUUUGUAAGUCAGAUGUGAAAUCCCCGGGCUCAACCUGGGAACUGCGUUUGAAACUACAAAGCUAG
rnacentral:rRNA from 1 species